CUGUUAUAUACUGCGAACAAAAUUGUCAUAAACUAUCUAUACCCGAGAGCGAUCACAUGGUACAUGGUUUCUUUCUAAAUCAUCAAUCGGCAUAACAAAACGCACCUAAAAAUAUAUAAAGUGUAAAUAAAUUUAGUGAGUUAACCUCACCAGUGAGUAAUACAUACAGUGAUAAAUAAAUAGCUCCAAAAAAAAUAAUAAAAGUGUAUAGUGCACAGUAAGUAGUGAUAAUAAUUAAAAAAAUAACCAAACUUAUUAAUAAAAAUGUCAGGACACAGUCAGCACCGCGAUAGGUCUCGCAGAAAAGAUUCACGGAACGACUACGAGCAAAAUAAUCGUCGCGAGCGCAGCAAUAAGGACAGGUAUCACGAAAAGAAUGAUAGACAUGACAAUAACAGGAGCAACGACGACAGAUCACCUCCUAGAAAACGUCAGCAACCUAGAGAGCGUAGUCGUUCUCGACAACGCGACGAGAGGAGAGGCUCCAGGUUCGAAAACCGGAGGAAUGAUAGGCGUGAACGAAACCACGACAGAUUCUCCAACCACGAGGAAGAUGCUGGUAAUCCGAGAGUCAAGAGAGAGUCUUCUCCAGACUGGGGCCGAUCUCGACCUAAAGACGAGGAGAAGCCCAAGCCAGUCGAGAAGGAAAAGCCAAACUUUGAAUUGUCCGGGAAGCUGACUGAGGACGCAAACACCAUCAACGGCGUCGUCAUCAAAUACGCUGAGCCUGAUGACGCCAAGAAGCCUAAACGGCGCUGGAGGUUAUACCCUUUCAAAGGCGAAAAGGCGCUACCUUUCAUCCCUGUCCAUCGGCAGUCAGCUUACCUGCUUGGAAGGGACAGAAAAGUCGCGGACAUUCCGUUAGACCAUCCGUCCUGCUCCAAGCAGCACGCUGCGCUCCAAUAUCGUCUAGUUUCCUAUGAAAGAGAGGAUGGCAAGUUUGGCAAGCGGGUCAGGCCUUACCUGAUCGACCUCGAGUCUGCUAAUGGCACCACUGUCAAUAAUGUCAAGCUCGAGGCCAAGAGGUUUCAUGAGCUUCUCGAGAGGGACGUCAUCAAGUUUGGAUUCAGCUCCAGGGAGUAUGUUUUGUUGCACGAGCACAGCAAGGAUGACGAGGACGAUGAUGAUGUCGAUCUUCCUAAUGACACUUAGAUUUUGAUGGACAAGUGAUCGUUAUACGCUUUCGAUUUUAUUUAGAUUACGUAAAUCGAAUGUUAAAGUACCUGAGUUAAAAUUAAUUAGUGGGAUCAGAUAAUUGUAAAUCAAAUUUCUACAAUUAAGAGUGUUUAAGUUAUAUUUUUUUUAGGUAGUAAUUUUUUGCAUUGAUACUAGUAAGUAAUAAUUGUAAAUUUAAGAUUUAUUUAAUGGCUUAAAUA